rnacentral:tRNA from 1 species
UCCCUGGUGAUCCAGUGGUUAGGAUUUUUACUUCCAAUGCAGGGGGCCCGGGUUCAGUCCCUGGUCAGGGAA